AUCGACAAAUAAACUGAAUUCGAA
rnacentral:siRNA from 1 species